rnacentral:misc_RNA from 1 species
GUCCAACUACCUCUGACAUGCGCAGAAAACAUGAUUGCUAUGAAACCACUCUGCUAAAAUAUUUUAAAAUUUGUACGCACGCGUACUGUUGAGGCAGCAUCAGAUAUGUGUUUCAUAUAGCAUUUUUGUAUAUAAUCUAUGUAUACAUUUGUAUUUGAUGUGAAAAAUUUUAAAUUGUAUUUUGUUUUGUAGAGUGAUUUUUGUAUUCUUAUACUAAUCGAUUAAACAUUAAACAAAA